rnacentral:rRNA from 1 species
AGGUGUAUGAAGCGAACCUGGGGAACUGAAACAUCUAAGUACCCAGAGGAAAGGACAUCAACCGAGACUCCGUUAGUAGUGGCGAGCGAACGCGGACCAGGCCAGUGCCGUUUAUCUUUUGAACUGGAACCAUCUGGAAAGGUGGGCCGAAAUGGGUGAUAGCCCCGUACAGGUAGGAAAGAUUUACGGACUUGAGUAGGGCGGAACACGUGAAAUUCUGUCUGAACAUGGGGGGACCACCCUCCAAGCCUAAGUACUCCUCAACGACCGAUAGUGAACAAGUACCGUGAGGGAAAGGUGAAAAGCACCCCGACGAGGGGAGUGAAAUAGAUCCUGAAACCGAAUGCCUACAAUCAGUUGGAGCCUCUUUAUGGGGUGACAGCGUACCUUUUGUAUAAUGGGUCAGUGACUUAGUCUGGCAAGCAAGCUUAAACCGUUAGGUGUAGGCGCAGCGAAAGCGAGUCUUAAUAGGGCGCUUUAGUUUGUCGGAUUAGACCCGAAACCGAGUGAUCUAGAUAUGAGCAGGUUGAAGGUGCAGUAACAUGCACUGGAGGACCGAACCCACUAAUGUUGAAAAAUUAGGGGAUGACUUGUGUCUAGGGGUGAAAGGCCAAUCAAACUCGGAAAUAGCUGGUUCUCCGCGAAAUCUAUUUAGGUAGAGCGUCGCACGAAUACUCUCGGGGGUAGAGCACUGGAUGGGCUAGGGGGCCUCACCGCUUACCAAACCUAACCAAACUCCGAAUACCGAGAAGUACUAUGCGGCAGACACACUACGGGUGCUAAGGUCCGUGGUGGAGAGGGAAAGAGCCCAGACCGCCAUCUAAGGUCC